UACGUAGGGUGCGAGCGUUGCCCGGAAUCACUGGGCGUAAAGGGCGCGUAGGCGGGAUGGCAAGUCAGUCGUGAAAUCUCUCGGCUCAACCGAGAAACGUCGGCUGAUACUGCCGUUCUUGAGGGAUGCAGAGGAGACUGGAAUUCCCGGUGUAGCGGUGAAAUGCGUAGAUAUCUGGAGGAACACCGGUGGCGAAGGCGGCAUCCUGGACCAACACUGACACUGAUGAGCGAAAGCCAGGGGAGCAAACGGG
rnacentral:rRNA from 1 species